rnacentral:lncRNA from 1 species
AUUAUUUUGAGGAUGCUAUGCAAGGGCUGGAAUUUUGAAACUUCCAUUUCGGAUUGUUUCAUGAGAAAAGCGUAGUUGAGAGCUUUGUUCUGUGGAGGCUUGAAUUAUGUGAGACAGUGAAUUACCUCAUCUUUUAAGAUCAAUAAACCACUUGGAGCUUUUGAACUAGGUUCCUCUUUCAAGCCAUGAAUAUAAUGAAAUGACACAGCAAAUUGCCUAAGGAAGAAGAUAACACUGAGAAAAGGAAAGUCUACCAACUGAAUGUCAAUACCAUUAGCAUUUUGAGGGACAACAGGAGGCACCACAGCAACUUUGUAGAUGCAUCCAAUCCUGCAAGCUACAAGUCUGGAUUUGGAUUUGCCAUCAUUUGCAUUAAAGGCAAAGGGAGCGUCUGGCUCUCAUUUCUCGACUGGAAGCCCUGUUUGUCUUGAGCAACUUGGCCUAACAAAGAGAAUGAGAUCAACAGGUUUCGAGUGACAUCACUGAGGCAUCCCAGGCCGUGGUAAAUGUGACAUUGAAGAAAAGUGAGAAAAAAACCUGCAGUCGUCUCUUCCCACACCAGCUUGCCACCUACAGAAAAGCAAGAGAAAACAGGAUGCUUGGGAGCAAUUUUUUCUGAUAAGUCACAUAGCGGUAGAAUUUAAGGAAUAAAAAAUUAACCAUCUAUAUCCAAAAGAAUUGAAAUCAGAAUCUCGGAGAGAUAUCUGAGCUCCCAAGUUCACUGCAGCACUAUUAACACAGCCAAGAUAUGGAAACAACCUAAGUGUUCAUCAAAAGAUGAAUGGAUAAAGAAGAUGUGGUAUAUAUGUACAAUAGAAUAUUGUUCAGCCUUAAAAAAGAAGAAAAUCCUGCUAUUUGUUACAACGUGGAUGGACCUGGAGGACAUUAUCCUAAGUGUAAUAAGUCAGUCACAGAAGGAGAAAUACUGCAUGAUUCCACUUAUAUGAAGUGUGUAAAAUAGUCACACUCAGAGAAUAGAGAGUAGAAUGGUGAUUGUCACGGGCUAGGGAGAGGAAGAAAUGGGGAGCUAUAGAACAUGCAAGUAUAAACCUACGUACUAUGAGUAUAUGGUUUCAGUUAUGCAAGACGAAUAAGUUCUAGAGAUCUGCUGUGCAACAUGUGUCUAUAGUUAACAAGUCUAUGUUAUGCGCUUGAAAAUUUGUCAUAAGGGGAAAUCUCAUGUUAAGUGUACUUACCGUAAUUUAAAAAAAAGAAAAGUGAAUGGAAUGAAUAGAUAAAAGAAUGAAUGAAUAAAAUAAAACUUACUUGGAAAAAAAAAAGAUUAACCAGAAUCACUGGUCUCACCUCACUUCUUCCUCUCCCUCUACUGGAAACGAGGGCUGAAGGUGAGAGCAGCCCAGC